rnacentral:lncRNA from 1 species
GAAAGCUUUCAGGUUGAAUUUAGAUGAUUUUUUCCCCCUCAUCAUCUUUUUCCUCUUCUUUCCUUCUGCAGCACUCAGGCUAGCCUGAAGUCUCCUGUCUAAGACUUUCACUCUAAUUUGAAGACAUCUGAAAAGCAGCUGCCAUAGCUGAAAAGCUAGAGCAGCUGUAAACCAUAAAUCACAAGGGUGAGGAAUUCUGGGCUGCAGAUUGGCAUGUGGUCUGUCAAGCCAAAAAAAUAGAGACAUAAAAGAUCAAGAGGUCAGAGGACAGCACAGUUCCUACACAAGUAACUAUUAUGACCUCUUCUAUCUCAAGAUGAGGUAUGAGAAGGCUUUGUGGAUACAGCUGCAUUAUUUAGAGAAUGGUUGAAGUUUGAAUAUAAGUGAGUAUUUUCAUUACAUAAAUAAGACAACAUGGAAAGAAUAUUGGAUUUGAAGACAGACCUGAUCUGAAUCCUGACUAUCAUUUACUGGACAAAUCCUUUAAUCUCUCUGGGCCUCAGUCUCUUCAUCUGUA